rnacentral:rRNA from 1 species
GACGAACGCUGGCGGCGUGCCUAAUACAUGCAAGUCGAACGCACGAAGUUGAAGAGCUUGCUCUUUAACCAAGUGAGUGGCGGACGGGUGAGUAACACGUGGGUAACCUGCCCAUUAGAGGGGGAUAACAUUCGGAAACGGAUGCUAAUACCGCAUAGUUUCAGGAAUCGCAUGAUUCUUGAAGGAAAGGUGGCUUCGGCUACCACUAAUGGAUGGACCCGCGGCGUAUUAGCUAGUUGGUGAGGUAAUGGCUCACCAAGGCAAUGAUACGUAGCCGACCUGAGAGGGUGAUCGGCCACACUGGGACUGAGACACGGCCCAGACUCCUACGGGAGGCAGCAGUAGGGAAUCUUCCGCAAUGGACGAAAGUCUGACGGAGCAACGCCGCGUGAGUGAAGAAGGUUUUCGGAUCGUAAAACUCUGUUGUUAAAGAAGAACAAGGAUGAGAGUAACUGCUCAUCCCCUGACGGUAUUUAACCAGAAAGCCACGGCUAACUACGUGCCAGCAGCCGCGGUAAUACGUAGGUGGCAAGCGUUGUCCGGAUUUAUUGGGCGUAAAGCGAGCGCAGGCGGUUCUUUAAGUCUGAUGUGAAAGCCCCCGGCUCAACCGGGGAGGGUCAUUGGAAACUGGAGAACUUGAGUGCAGAAGAGGAGAGUGGAAUUCCACGUGUAGCGGUGAAAUGCGUAGAUAUGUGGAGGAACACCAGUGGCGAAGGCGACUCUCUGGUCUGUAACUGACGCUGAGGCUCGAAAGCGUGGGGACCAAACCUG